GAGAUGGGAGAAUUGCUUGAGCCCAGGAGGAUGAGGCUGCAGUAAGCUGAGAUUAUACCACUGCACUCCAGCCUGAGUGACAGAGUGAGACCCUGUCUC
rnacentral:miRNA from 1 species